AAUGAAGAAGAAGAAGAAGAAAGCUAUAUUAAUCUUUAGCACAUCAUUAAAACCAACAAAUUAAAAAAAACCUCAAUUAUUCUUAGUUUUUCUUUUCCUUGCUGUUAGAACACGUUUUUCUUACAUCAGUAUAUACAUAUUUGUAAGUUCACUUUUAAUAACACUUUGGCUCGCCAAAAUCCAACUUCUAGCUUCGCCCCUGCAGCUCACCAUCACCCAACAAAGGAAACAAAGAGGGAAGAAGAAAGAAGAAAACCCAACAAACCCUAACUUUCUAAAAUCUCCAUAAUAACCCCACAAUUAUCUCCUAAAUUACCUCCUUAAAAUCACAUCCCAAAAG
rnacentral:misc_RNA from 1 species